rnacentral:rRNA from 1 species
GACGAACGCUGGCGGCGUGCCUAAUACAUGCAAGUCGAGCGCUGAAGGUUGGUACUUGUACCAACUGGAUGAGCAGCGAACGGGUGAGUAACGCGUGGGGAAUCUGCCUUUGAGCGGGGGACAACAUUUGGAAACGAAUGAUCAUACCGCAUAAAAACUUUAAACACAAGUUUCAAGUUUGAAAGAUGCAAUUGCAUCACCCAAAGAUGAUCCCGCGUUGUAUUAGCUAGUUGGUGAGGUAAAGGCCCACCAAGGCGAUGAUACAUAGCCGAACUGGAAAGGUGAUCGGCCACAAUGGGAAUGAGACACGGCCCAAGCUCCUACGGGAAGGAGCAAGAGGGGAACAUUGGCAAUGGACGGAAGGCUGGACGAAGAAAGGCGCGUGGGUGGAGAAGGGUCUCGGAUCGUAAAAGUCUGUUGGUAGGGAAGAACGUUGGGGAGAGUGGAAAGCUCAUCAAGUGACGGUAACUACCCAGAAAGGGACGGCUAACUACGUG